GAGUAACACGUGGAUAAUCUACCCGAUGAUCCGGGAUAACACUUCGAAAGGGGUGCUAAUACCGGAUAAGCCUACGAGCUCUUUGGAGUUUGUGGGAAAAGGUGGGGACCUUCGGGCCUACUGUCAUCGAAUGAGUCCGCGUCCCAUUAGCUAGUUGGUGGGGUAACGGCCUACCAAGGCUACGAUGGGUAGCUGGUCUGAGAGGAUGAUCAGCCACACUGGAACUGAGACACGGUCCAGACUCC
rnacentral:rRNA from 1 species